rnacentral:rRNA from 1 species
GACGAACGCUGGCGGCGUGCUUAACACAUGCAAGUCGAACGGAAAGGCCCUGCUUUUGUGGGGUACUCGAGUGGCGAACGGGUGAGUAACACGUGAGUAACCUGCCCUUGACUUUGGGAUAACUUCAGGAAACUGGGGCUAAUACCGGAUAGGAGCUCCUGCUGCAUGGUGGGGGUUGGAAAGUGUCGGCGGUUGGGGAUGGACUCGCGGCUUAUCAGCUUGUUGGUGGGGUAGUGGCUUACCAAGGCGUUGACGGGCAGCCGGCCUGAGAGGGUGACCGGCCACAUUGGGUCGGAGAUACGGCCCAGACCCCUACGGGAGGCAGCAGUGGGGUAUGUUGCACAGUGGGCGGAAGGCUGAUGUAGCAACGCGGCGUGCGGGAUGACGGCCAGCGGUUUGUAAUCCGCUUUCGCCUGGGACGGAGAGUGAGUGACGGUAAUGGGUAAAGAAGCACCGGCUAACUACGUG